GUCUAUGGCCAUGCCACCCUGAACAAGCCCGAUCCCGUCUGAUCUCGGAAGCUAAGCAGGGUCAGGCCUGGUUAGUACUUGGAUGGGAGACCACCUAGGAAGACCAGGUGCUAUAGGCG
rnacentral:rRNA from 1 species